GACCUUCCCUCGGUUCACGAUGCCAUGGCGUCUGCCCAUGUUCAUCAGGCUGGCUGGGGUGGUUCUGCCUCAUGUAGCUCCUUCCUUGGAAUAGGUUGCUGGGGCAUGUUCUUCUCAGGGGGAUUCUAGAGGCAUGAGACAGCAAGCCCUACUGUGAAAACACAUUUCUAAGCUUCUAUUGGUAUUCCAUCUACUAGGUUUCCAUUGGUUAAAGCAGGUCAUAUGAUGAAGUUCAAAGUCAAGGGGGAGGAAAGGACACUUCACCAAGAAGAUUUGGCCAAGAAAGGUGAAGAACUGGCUAAUAGUUUGCUGUGCCACAGGGAAUAUGGAUUCUAUGGAUGAAGAUACUUGCAUAUACUUUGAGCAGAAAGACCAUUAGAAGAACUCAUGUUCCAUUAUGGCCAAAGGUCAAAUGUCCAGACUUGUCUAGUGAUGCCGUUCUAAGGAGCCUUAGCACUCAACACCUGCCUGUCCUUCCUCUAAACUUGCAAAUAAAGUUGAUGAAAGUGGACAAUG
rnacentral:lncRNA from 1 species